GAACGAACGCUGGCGGCGUGCUUAACACAUGCAAGUCGAACGCGAAAGGGACUUCGGUCCUGAGUAAAGUGGCGCACGGGUGAGUAACGCGUAGAUAACCUGUCUUCAUGUCUGGAAUAAUACGCCGAAAGGGGUACUAAUACCGGAUAUUCUUGCUUUUCAUAAGUUAUGCAAGCAAAGGUGGCCUCUGCAUAUGCUACUGCAUGAAGAGGGGUCUGCGUACCAUUAGCUAGUAGGUGGGGUAAUGGCCUACCUAGGCGACGAUGGUUAGCGAGUCUGAGAGGAUGAUCCGCCACACUGGCACUGGAACACGGGCCAGACUCCUACGGGAGGCAGCAGUGAGGAAUAUUGCGCAAUGGGGGAAACCCUGACGCAGCGACGCCGCGUGAGUGAAGGAAGGCCUUCGGGUCGUAAAGCUCUGUCAAGAGGAAAGAAGUGUACAAUGGCUAAUACCUGUUGUAUUUGACGGUACCUCUAAAGGAAGCACCGGCUAACUCCGUGCCAGCAGCCGC
rnacentral:rRNA from 1 species